AGUGAACGCUGGCGGUGGGCCUAACACAUGCAAGUCGAACGGCAGCACAGUAAGAGCUUGCUCUUACGGGUGGCGAGUGGCGGACGGGUGAGGAAUACAUCGGAAUCUACUUUUUCGUGGGGGAUAACGUAGGGAAACUUACGCUAAUACCGCAUACGACCUACGGGUGAAAGCAGGGGAUCUUCGGACCUUGCGCGAUUGAAUGAGCCGAUGUCGGAUUAGCUAGUUGGCGGGGUAAAGGCCCACCAAGGCGACGAUCCGUAGCUGGUCUGAGAGGAUGAUCAGCCACACUGGAACUGAGACACGGUCCAGACUCCUACGGGAGGCAGCAGUGGGGAACAUUGGACAAUGGGCGCAAGCCUGAUCCAGCCAUACCGCGUGGGUGAAGAAGGCCUUCGGGUUGUAAAGCCCUUUUGUUGGGAAAGAAAAGCAGCAGGUUAAUACCCCGCUGUUCUGACGGUACCCAAAGAAUAAGCACCGGCUAACUUCGUG
rnacentral:rRNA from 1 species